rnacentral:tRNA from 2 species
GUGAAUAUAACUUAAUUGGUCAAAGUAUCAGACUGUGACUCUGGAAAUACGGGUUCAAUUCCCGUUAUUCGCC